rnacentral:rRNA from 1 species
AGAUUGAACGCUGGCGGCAGGCCUAACACAUGCAAGUCGAGCGGCAGCACGGGUACUUGUACCUGGUGGCGAGCGGCGGACGGGUGAGUAAUGCCUAGGAAUCUGCCUGGUAGGUGGGGGAUAACGCUCGGAAACGGACGCUAAUACCGCAUACGUCCUACGGGAGAAAGCAGGGGACCUUCGGGACCUUGGCGCUAUCAGAUGAGCCUAGGUCGGAUUAGCUAGUUGGUGGGGUAAUGGCGUCACCAAGGCGACGAUCCGUAACUGGUCUGAGAGGAUGAUCGAGUCACACUGGAACUGGAGACACGGUCCAGACCUCCGUACGGGAGCGAGCAGUGGGGAAUAGUUGGACAAGUGGGCGAAAGCCUAGACUCCGAG